AUUGAACGCUGGCGGCAGGCUUAACACAUGCAAGUCGAGCGGAGAUGAGGUGCUUGCACCUUAUCUUAGCGGCGGACGGGUGAGUAAUGCUUAGGAAUCUGCCUAUUAGUGGGGGACCACAUUCCGAAAGGACUGCUAAUACCGCAUACGCCCUACGGGGGAAAGCAGGGGAUCUUCGGACCUUCCGCUAAUCGAUGAGCCUAAGUCGGAUUAGCUAGUUGGUGGGGUAAAGGCGUACCAAGGCGACGAUCUGUAGCGGGUCUGAGAGGAUGGUCCGCCACACUGGGACUGAGACACGGCCCAGACUCCUACGGGAGGCAGCAGUGGGGAAUAUUGGACAAUGGGCGGAAGCCUGAUCCAGCCAUGCCGCGUGUGUGAAGAAGGCCUUUUGGUUGUAAAGCACUUUAAGCGAGGAGGAGGCUACCUGGAUUAAUACUCUAGGAUAGUGGACGUUACUCGCGGAAUAAGCACCGGCUAACUCUGUGCCAGCAGCCGCCGUAACAC
rnacentral:rRNA from 1 species